rnacentral:rRNA from 1 species
UACGGGGGGAGCAAGCGUUGUUCGGAUUUACUGGGCGUAAAGGGCGCGUAGGCGGCCAGCACAAGUCAGUUGUGAAAUCUCCGAGCUUAACUCGGAAAGGUCAACUGAUACUGUGCGGCUAGAGUGCGGAAGGGGCAACUGGAAUUCUUGGUGUAGCGGUGAAAUGCGUAGAGAUGUGGAGGAACACCGAUGGCGAAGGCAGCCCCCUGGGCUAACACUGACGCUCAGGCACGAAAGCGUGGGGAGCAAACAGG